CCUACGGGUGGCUGCAGUGGGGAAUAUUGGGCAAUGGGCGCAAGCCUGACCCAGCAACGCCGCGUGAAGGAAGAAGGCUUUGGGGUUGGAAACUUCUUUUCUGAGGGACGAAGAAAGUGACGGUACCGCAGGAAUAAGCCACGGCUAACUACGUGCCAGCAGCCGCGGUAAUACGUAGGUGGCAAGCGUUAUCCGGCUUUAUGGGGUGUAAAGGGCGUGUAGGCGGGAAAGCAAGUCAGAUGGGAAAACUCAGGGCUCAACCCUGAGCCUGCAUUUGAAACUGUUUUUCUUGAGUGCUGGAGAGGCAAUCGGAAUUCCGUUUGUAGCGGUGAACUGCGUAGAUAUACGGAGGAACCCCAGUGGCGAAGGCGGAUUGCUGGACAGUACCUGACGCUGAGGCGCGAACGCGUGGGGAGCACACAGGAUUAGAUACCCUGGUAGUC
rnacentral:rRNA from 1 species